UACGUAGGGUGCAAGCGUUGUCCGGAAUUAUUGGGCGUAAAGAGCUCGUAGGCGGCCUGUCGCGUCGGCUGUGAAAACCCGAGGCUCAACCUCGGGCCUGCAGUCGAUACGGGCAGGCUAGAGUUCGGUAGGGGAGACUGGAAUUCCUGGCGUAGCGGUGAAAUGCGCAGAUAUCAGGAGGAACACCGGUGGCGAAGGCGGGUCUCUGGGCCGAAACUGACGCUGAGGAGCGAAAGCGUGGGGAGCGAACAGG
rnacentral:rRNA from 1 species